rnacentral:rRNA from 1 species
GGCGCGCGGGUGAGUAACGCGUGGGUAACCUACCUCUGAAUCUGGAAUAACUUCGCGAAAGCGUUGCUAAUACCGGAUAUUGUCCCUUGAUCUUCGGUUCUUGGGAUGAAAGGUGACCUCUUCUUGAAAGUUGCCGUUCGGGGAUGGGCCCGCGUACCAUUAGCUAGUUGGUAGGGUAAUAGCCUACCAAGGCGAGGAUGGUUAGCUGGUCUGAGAGGAUGACCAGCCACACUGGCACUGAAACACGGGCCAGACUCCUACGGGAGGCAGCAGUGAGGAAUCUUGCGCAAUGGGGGAAACCCUGACGCAGCAACGCCGCGUGAGCGAAGAAGGCCUUCGGGUCGUAAAGCUCUGUCUAGUGGGAAAAAAGUCCUGGUGUAAAUAGCUCCAGGAUCUGAUGGUACCGCUGGAGGAAGCACCGGCUAACUCCGUGCCAGCAGCCGCGGUAAUACGGAGGGUGCAAGCGUUGUUCGGAAUUAUUGGGCGUAAAGGGCGUGUAGGCGGUUUGGUAAGUCAGAUGUGAAAGCCCUGGGCUUAACCCAGGAAGUGCAUUUGAAACUACCAGACUUGAGUAU